CCAAGCCCGGAGGAGCGCGGAUCUCCCCCAAGCCCCGCCGCCAGGGACACAGCGCGGCCCAGCGGGCCCCGGACAGCCUGACUCGCGCUGUAAUCGUGAUAGAGCAUCCUUACGAAUUGCCGAUGGUGCCAUUUGUUGUGCUCGAAGCCGGAUUUCUCGCAGGCCGGCCCAUCUGACAGCCUGAGGGGGGUUGGCCAUGGGUACAGCCCAACCUCCACGACUCAGCGCGCCCCGCCCUUCCCACCGCCUCACUCCCGCCUCUACUCGCCCCGCCCUCCGAGCCACGCCCCCUCGGACAUGCGCGGUGCCUCCGGGCCGCGCACGUUGAGGCGGCCCUCGGUGGGGUUGGGGCUUAGGGACUCGCGCGGACUUGCCGGUUGGUGACACUUCUUAGAACCCGUGCGGAAGCUCUUAAGCCGGUAUUUGAAACGUAAACUCACCGGCUACGAUGGAAAUACCGGUACCUGGAAACCUGGAACUUGCCUUUUCAAAGCCACCUUUCUCGCCGUCACCUCUGUCCCUCGGGGCUGCCAUAAUCGUCCCCAUGGACCUCGGUGGUGUGGCUCCCCGCAGAGUGCCCCUCGGAGCCCUGGGCUGGCUGAACAGCUUCUUAGAGGGACUGACUGCCCAGUGCGGUGUUUUGAAAAGGAGAAACAUGACAGUGGACAGGCCCAAUUCUGCGUGGUACAGAUGGGAAAGUCAGGCGGGCAGUUACUCCAUCCCUACACACGUCUCAAACUCACUUCAGCAAAGCUCCAAUUCUGUGCAGGAAGGAUGCAAAAAAAAAAGCAAAAUAUCCAUGGUAUAACUUUCUGGAGCAUCAGUCCUACUGCCAGAUUUGGAAGAAAUGAAGUUAAGUAAUUUCCAAGGAAAAAGGGAAAACGCUAUUUGUGAAGAACUGUUAAGUGCCAAACACUAUGAUAAUCAAGAAAGCCUAUGCCGAAGGGUUGCACCUCAACCUAGAGGACAUGCCAAAAAAGAACUUUCAGUCAAGGACCCUUCCAAAAUUCUUCAGUGACCUCACGAAGCAGUGUGACUCUGGAAAAAGCUCAAAUCUCACCCUAAAUGAGAUGCCUAUUCCCAGUGCCUGAGAGGACAGAGGCCCAGAGCACACUUGUGGCAGAUCCCCUGGGCAGAGGUGUGACCCAGCAUUUCAGGGCAGUAUCUCCCCUCCCUGACAAACAUGGAGGAAGAGACAGAAGAGCAGGAGGGAAGAAGUGCCCCAGGACAACAGUCCAGUCUCUGAAGAUUCAUCCAGGUUGGGACAAAGGGCCAGCCUCUCUACUUAUCUCCCCAUUGGCUCCCAACCAUCCUUUAAGCUCACCAGCAUUUUGGAUUCAAUGCCUUUGAAUGCUGUGGAAGUGCAGGUACUCCCUUGAUUUGAAUCCCAUGCAGAGUGCCUUGGCAGUCCGCACCUGCUAUCCUCCCCUGCACGCAGGCCUCGGCUUCCCUGCGCACGCGCUGUAAGCUCCUUGCACCACUCCCGUCCCCGCAGCUGUCGCCUCAUCACUGGCUCGGCUCCCACACCUGUCGCUGGGCUCUGUGCAACUCAGGAUCUUCUUGCUCCCUCUUUAAAAGCAGUCUUUGGUUUUAUCCCUGCCUCGGCUAUCCACCAUGUGAGCUUUUGCUGGCUUCACUGUGUUUGAAGGGCCACACCAGUUCUUUCUGGGCAGCCUGGAACACGGGUAUCUGUCUGAGGAGGAAGUUGAAGAAGCUCCCAACAGUCCCCUGUCAGCCCUGGCUGUUGCCAAAGGGAGAGGCUGGGGUCCCAUCACCGGGCCACCCAGGAUGGAGGGAGUUUCUGUUGUAGGAUAAACCCCGAGGGCAGCUGGUUCCAUGUGGGGCUCUACCACAUGGAUGGUAGGUGCUGUGGGUAGAGGGGAGGCCCCAGGGCCACGUUGGGGACUGUGCUGGGGAUUGGGGGGUCCUUGUCUCCAGGCUUGGUGGGCGACUGGCAGACACUUUGGCUGGGCUGCUGGCCUUCCACUGACUCCCAGUCCUCCCCAGGCCGCCAACUUUCUGAGUUACAGAAUGCAACAAAGGUGGGAAUGAUGGGCUCACCACAACCACAUUUCUUUGUGUUGGCAGAGACCCUAGGCUGAAGUGUGCAGGAUGGGGAAGGACAGCAGCUGUUGGUAGGAUCAGCUGAAGGCGGGGGCUUCACAGCAGUGGUCCACCCCUCCGCCUUGGGGCUCUUGCAGCCUAGGAUCAGGUAGUUGGCCAUCACGUCAUCAUAACUCCAGCCCAUCAGCAGGUCCUGGAUCUGGUGCCACCCAUAACCCAUGGAUAACGUCACCUCAGUUCUGCCAGGGGUCCUUGUAGCCCAGGGGGUGGCUGGAUGUAAGGCUUUAGUUCCUCUUCAUGGACUAUGUUCAUCCAGGGGUCCUUCAUGGUUUCCUCUAAAGUGCUUCUCUCACUGGGAUUGAAGGCCAGGAAUUGCUCUAGUAGGUUUUCACACUCCACAGACAUAUAAAGGGGAAUGCAGUAUAUUCUGCUCAGUACCCACUCCCACAGCUCCCCAAAGUCCUGUAAAGGCAGGCAUCUGCUGGUCACUGGACAGUCAUUGUAUAGAGGAUGGCUCCAGGCUCCACACGGCCACUGCGAGGCUGUUGUACUUUUGGCAUAAGGGGGACUACCACAGAAGGUGUUUAGCUUAUGGCCGACGGUGACCUCAUUGCUGAAGCCAAAGUCUACAACCUUGAUGUUCAGGUCGGCUUCCAAAAGCAGGUUCUCUGGCUUUAGGUCCCUGGGGAUGAUACCCUCCUGGCAAUGGUACUACACAGUGAACACUAUCUGGCAGAAUCUGCCUCCAGGGCUGCUCCUUUCUCAUGCAGGCAUGGUCCAGUGGGUGAUCAAGUGCCUGUAGUGUACUCCGUGACCAGAUAGAGUGUUUCCGUGGUGUCAGUCACCUUGAGUGGUUUCAUGACUCAAGGGUCGUGAUUCAGGGCCUCCAGGCUCUGGACUUCAAGGAAUAGUCUGUGGAGGCUGGAGGAGCUCUGCUGGCUCUUGUUAAUGACCUUCAUGGAUGCUUCUGUCCCACUUAGGUUGUGCCAGACCGACCUCACUUCAGCAAAGCCGCCCUGGCCAAAGGUCUUGAGGAGCCAGUGGUUGUCAGUGCGGGUCUCCUGGUCGCAGGCAUGGCUGUGAGGUCCCGCAGCUCAGCAACUUACUGCUAGCAAUACUAACUAGAAAUGCCCCCACGCCUGGGUGGCUCAGUUGGUUAAGCGACUGCCUUCGGCUCAGGUCAUGAUCCUGGAGUCCCGGGAUCGAGUCCCGCAUCGGGCUCCCUGCUCGGCGGGGAGUCUGCUUCUCCCUCUGACCCUCUUCCCUCUCGUGCUCUCUGUCUCUCAUUCUCUCUCGCUCAAAUAAAUAAAUAAAUAAAAUCUUAAAAAAAAAAAAAAAAGAAAUGCCCCCUAA